UGCCUUCAAGUGUCAAGCGGGUUGGUUAGUUCUAGCAAACGUUGUUUCUUUCUUGGCAUUUUCUUGUGUCUACAGUUUGGUUUUUGGUUGUUUAGAUUUACGUAUAUAUUUUGUGUUGUCGCGGUAUAUUGGUAACAAAACCCAAACAAUUGUUCUUUCUUGCAUCAAAAACUAGUUUCCUCCGUAAUUUACAUAAUCUUAUACUUGACACUGGCAGAAUGUUGCACAACGAACAGUUGCGACGCUGACAUGCCAUAAAUUAAAGAAGAAGAAGAA